rnacentral:rRNA from 1 species
AGAGUUUGAUCAUGGCUCAGAGCGAACGCUGGCGGCAGGCCUAACACAUGCAAGUCGAACGAACCCUUCGGGGUUAGUGGCGGACGGGUGAGUAACACGUGGGAACGUGCCUUUAGGUCCGGAAUAACUCAGGGAAACUUGUGCUAAUACCGAAUGUGCCCUUCGGGGGAAAGAUUUAUCGCCUUUAGAGCGGCCCGCGUCUGAUUAGCUAGUUGGUGAGGUAAAGGCUCACCAAGGCUACGAUCAGUAGCUGGUCUGAGAGGAUGACCAGCCACAUUGGGACUGAGACACGGCCCAAACUCCUACGGGAGGCAGCAGUGGGGAAUCUUGCGCAAUGGGCGAAAGCCUGACGCAGCCAUGCCGCGUGGAUGAUGAAGGUCUUAGGAUUGUAAAAUCCUUUCACCGGUGAAGAUAAUGACUGUAGCCGGAGAAGAAGCCCCGGCUAACUUCGUGCCAGCAGCCGCGGUAAUA